rnacentral:lncRNA from 1 species
AAAAAAAAAAAAAAAAAAUUAGCCAGGCAUGGUGCCACGCACUACUUGGGAGUCUGAGGCAGAAGAAUCACUUGAACCCAGGAGGUGGAGAUUGCAGUGAGUCAAGACUGGGCAACAGAGCAAGACUCUGUCUCAAAAAUAAAUAAAUAAAAUAAAUUAAAAUAGUAUUAGUACCUAAGACACAAAGAACACCAAUUAAUAAGAAAAAGAUAAAUAAUCCAAUGGGGAAAUGAGCAAAGGGCAGGAAGAGAAAGUGCAUAGAAUAGAAAACCUGUUAUACCUUAGGAAUAACCAGGAUUAUUAAUCAUAACCCCAAUAUCUAUAAUAAAAAGAUGUUCUAUCCUAUCAACAAUCAGGAUAAUGCAAACUAAAACCACAAUGAGAUUCUAUCUCACUUUCAUAGAUUGGCAAAAAUUACUAAAUCUAAUAGCAUGUCUUGGAAGGUGUGGGACAAGAGGAGCCCUUUCACACUGGUGGGAGUAUCAUCAACUGGGAUGACUACUUGGGUGGUGGCGUGAGCCUGUAAUCCCAGCUACUCAGGAGGCUGAGGCAGGAGAAUCACUUGAACCCGGGUGGCAGAGGUUGCAGUGAGCUGAGAUUGCACCAUUGUACUCCAGCCUGGGUGACAGAGUGAGACUAUGUCUUAAAAAAAAAAAAAAAAAUUGACUGAUAAAUGUGCAGACUCACAGAGAAUCCACUCCAAAAAGACACUUCCUGUAGAUGUAGUGAAUGAAUUUUUUCUUUUUUCUUUUUUUUUUUUUUUUUUUUUUGAGACAGGGUCUUACUCUGUCACCCAGGCUGGAGUGCAGUGGUGCAAUCUCCUCCUGGGCUAGAGCAAUCCUCCCACCUCAGCCUUGAGUAGCUGGGAACACACGUGGAUGCCACCAUGACUGGCUAAUUUUUUGUGUGUAUUUUUAGUAGAGACGGGGUUUCACCAUGUUGCCCAGGCUGGUCUCAAACUCCGGGGUUCAAGCUAUUCACCUGCCUCAGCCUCCCACAGUGCUGGGAUUACAGGUGUGAGCCACCUGCAGGCCGUGAAUGAGUAUUUUAUAUUUGCCUUCAAGCCAUCCUCAGUUUAAAAGAGAAAAAUGCAUCUGAUAAAGCCGGUGUAGUUUAACAAAGGAAACAAGAGUUAAGGACAUCACAAAGAGAGGUCAGCCAUUUAAUCUGACAAAACUAAAACGUGCAAUAAUACUCACCACUCUUCCUUCCCUAUAAAAUAGAAAUAAGCUAUAACCUAUUCUGGAAACAUAACUGGUCCUUGGCGGUAAGACUCCACCACAAAUUUCAGUUCCAAAAUAUCUCCCUGAGAAGUAAAAAUGCAAGGGUUUCCCAACAAUGAGAAGAGUUUCCGAGAAAAGAAAGUAAAAAUCAGUAGUCACUUGGAUUGUUUUGAUUGUACUGUCCCAGUUAGUGACUUCUACCUGUACUGUCCAUGGUGGCUACUAGCCACAUGUGGUUAUUUAUGUAAGUUUAAAUCAAUUAAGAUAACAUCAAAAAUUUAGCGCCAGGGCUUGAACAAGUAUAUCUUGAUUCUUUUUCUUUUUUUUUUUUUUUUUUUGAGACAGUCUUGCUCCGUCACUCAGGCUGGAGUGCAGUGGUGCAAUCUUGGCUCACAGCAACCUCCGCCUUCUGGAUUCAAGCCAUCCUCCUGGCUCAGCCUCCUGAGUAGCUGGGACUACAGGCAUGCACCAUCACUCCCAGGUAAUUUUUGUAUUUUUAGUAGAGAUGGGGUUUCACCAUGUUGGCCAGGUUGGUCUUGAAUUCCUGACCUCAGGUGAUCUGGCUACCUCAGCCUCCCAAAGUGCUAGGAUUAGAGGCAUAGGCCACAACACCCAGCCCCAGAAUAGGUUAACUCUUAAAAGAUAUUGCUAAAAACAAAUCAAUUUGGUUUGGCUCAAGUGAAGGAGAGAUCCAGCCUCGAUUUUGCAGGCUUGCCAAGCCUCAGUAAGCCAAGGAGCACAGCAGAAAGGGGCAAAGUGGAAAAGCACUCAGGCUUGGGGUCCAACCUUGCCUUUGCCCCUUCCCUGAAAUGAGACCCUGGCUGUCACCCAAACCCUUCAGGUUCCCUGGUAAGGAUAAAAGUGGGAUCACAGUAGGGAACGCAGCCCAGUGCACCUCAUACCAGGCAUCUGGUGUGACUGUUGCCAGCAUCCCUACCUGACCUUCCGUUUCCUCAAAUGACACCCACCAGAGCUAAGAAUCAUAACCACCACCCUCUCUCCCUCCUCAUCCAAAUCCCCUACAUCACUCCUUCCUUCUCAGUUUAUCUGUGGCAAAGGGCUAGGUAUGGGAGGC